ensembl:lncRNA
CUGUCUCAGUCCCAUUCUGCCCCACACCUGGCCAUACAAACUAGAAUCCCUCUUCCCCAAGAUGGGUCAUACAAAGCAGAACCUCCUUUCCCAAAAGCCAGCCAAAAAUCUAAAAUGUAUUCUAUAAAAUAGAAUCAUUAAUCAAUGUGUCUCAUGUAAGUAAUUUUUUAGCAAAACUUUAGGAGUCCAAGGGCCUUGUCCCCCACCCCCGAGUGCUAUAACAGUGACUAAUACAGGGGGACUGGCCUGGUCAAGAGAUACAGGGAAACCUGAUCUACAGAGGAGGUGGCUGAACUGACAUCUGAAAAGAAAGUAGGAGUCAUCCAGGCAAAGAAUAAAUAGCGUGGGGAGGGGGACUCGAUGCGGGCCAAGGGGCGGCUCCGGCCAGCGGAUUCGGAGCGGGCGACGGAGUGACCCAGACAGCUGUCCUCUCUGACACCCCCCGGCCUGCCUCUCUGUGGGCAUGAGAGCUGCCUACCUCUUCCUGCUAUUCCUGCCUGACAACCCAGACUACUAUGAUUAUCAAGAGGUGAAUUCUCAGCCUUCGGAGGAACAGUUCCAGUUCCCGUCCCAACAGCAAGUCCAACAGGAAGUCAUAGCAGCCCCAACCCCAGAACCAGGAAAUGGCAGAGCUGGAGCCCACGGAGCCCAGACCUCUGGACUGCGGUGUGGAGCAGUACCCGUGCACCCGCCUCUACUCCAUACACAAGGCUUGCAAGCAGUGUCUGAACGAGGUCUGCUUCUACAGCCACCCCCGCGUGUAUGUCAUCAAUAAGGAGAUCUGUGUCCGCACAGUGUGUGCCCACGAGGAGCUCCUCCAAGCUGACCCCAAGUUCUCCAAAUGUGGCGUCAUGGUCAGCAGCGGCCUGUGUCAAUCCGUGGCAGCCUCCUGCACCAGGAGCUGUGGGCCUGCUAGGGUGGUGCUGGCAUCCUGAGUCCUGGCCCUCCUGGGAUCCGGGGCCCUCGGGCCCUGCCUGACCUGGUGCUUUCUUCCCCAUCCCCAUGUUCAUUUCAUUCUGUAAAAGUUAGUGGAAUGCAGCCGUGGGGGUUGUAGGCUGCGGUGCAGGCUCCUCCUUCGGCCUGUGGCCACCUCUGGGGCACAAUGGGGGCUCCCCACUGCCCAGUCUCUGCCCCUUGGGUUGGGGGGCAUCCCAGGCCUCUCCAUGGGACCUGGGUCCCUGACAGGCCUCAGCCUGUUUUGAUGACAGACAGUCCCCUAUUCAGUCCCCCAGGUAGGCUGUGUCCCCGCACCCCAGCUGGUCUGCUUGGAUUUCCUACAGCCCCCCUGGGCAUGGACCACCUUUAUUUUACACAAAAUUAAAAACAAGUUGUUACCAAAAAAAAAAAAAAAAGAAUAAAUAGGGUGGCAGAAAGGGUGUUCAGGUCAGAAGGAACAGCAAGUGCAAAAUCCUAUAGCAGUUUUGUUAAAUAAACAAAUGUCAGGGGGAUUAGGGUGCAGAGCAUGAGCAGACCAUGUGAACUGAGGUGAGAGAGGCAGAAUGAUUACACCUGGCUUUGUGGACCAUGUUAAAGAUUCUAAUCUUGCUGGGUGGCUCGUGCCUGUAAUUUCAGCACUUUGGGAGGCUAAACUGGGCAGAUUACGUGGUCAGGAGAUCAAGACCAUCCUGGCCAAUAUGGUAAAAACCCAUCUCUUACUAAAAAUAUCAAAAAAGAAAAAAAAAUAGCUGGGCAUGGUGGCACAUGCCUCUAAUCUCAGCUACUUGGGAGGCCAAGGUAGGAGAAUCACUUGAAUCAGGGAGUCAGAGGUUGCAGUGAGCCGAGACCACACCACUGCACUCCACUCCAGCAUGGCAACAGCAACAAAAAUCCUGGUCCUUCCCUGAAGAGCAAAGGAAAGCCACUCGGAUGUUAUAAAUUGAUGGCAGCAUAACCAAAUUUGCAUUCUGACCAGAUCCUUUUGCUGUUAUGUGAAGAAUAAAUUCAAGAAAGUCAAGGGUGGAUUGCAAGAGACGAAGAUCGGAGCUUAGGGGCAGGUUCUUGUGUUGCUUAAUGCAGAAGAAUACUCACACACAAUUUUGGAUGAGUUGCAUCCCAGGCACUUUUGAGAUCCAAAUUAAGAUAUCAAGUAGGCAGCUGCAUAUAUAAGUCUAAAGCUGAGAAGGGAAGUCAGGGCUUACAUUAAAAUUUUGAGCUAGAAUUUAUAAAUAAACUGUG